GCCGUAGCUCAAGUGGUAGAGCGUUUGGCUCACAUGCAGAAGGUCCUGGGUUCAACCCCAGAUGUCACCU